UUCUGGUUGAUCCCGCCGGACCCCACUGCUAUCGAGGGUGGGACUAAGCCAUGCUAGUCGAACGAACAGAACUAUGUCUGUGAGUGGCACACUGCUCAGUAACACGUAGCUAACCUACCCUUAGGACGUUGAUAACCCCGAGAAAUUGGGGCUAAUAAGCGAUAGAUGUGAUGUCCUGGAAUGGUAUCACGUCUAAAGGUAUCCCAUACAUGUUUGGUAUACGCCUAAGGAUGGGGCUGCGGCCGAUCAGGCUGUUGGUGAGGUAAUGGCUCACCAAACCUUUGACCGGUAUGGGCCAUGAGAGUGGUAGCCCAGAGAUGGACACUGAGACAAGGGUCCAGGCCCUACGGGGCGCAGCAGGCGCGAAACCUCCUCAAUGCACUAACGUGCGAAGGGGUUACCUCGAGUGCUACCUGAAGAAGGUGGCUUUUCCUUGGUCUAAAAAGCCUCGGGAAUAAGAGGGGGGCAAGACUGGUGUCAGCCGCCGCGGUAA
rnacentral:rRNA from 1 species